GAAGAGUGCCUUUGGUAAGACCUAGGACAUCUGUGAGCAAAGGCGGACUGACGGAAUGGCAAUAACUUGUCUGGAUGAUUUGAUUUUAUAUACAUGAAUUUCAUCUCCAGUGGCAGCACAGUGACUUGGUCAUAAUAGAUAAAGGAAAAUCUAAAGCUGCCUGGACCUGAGGAUGCUCUUGAUCACAUGGGUUGUAGCCGAGGCUGCGUGUCAAGUGUUUCUGGUCAGAAUCUCCGUGUCCAUGAGGAUCAUCUCCAUCAUCAUCAUCAUCAUCGUCAUUGUAUUGACCAAGAGCAUUCACCAACUCCACAAAAAUUUCAUCAUUUAUAAACCCACAUUCUGAAAUUCAUCAAAUCGAAUAUCAGAAAUACACAAAAGUUCACGCACGCUUUCUGUAAUCGGUAAGAAACAGCUGGAGCCUAUCCAUCAGUACCAUAACAGUAUUAUUAAAAUGCGGUGAGGAAAGAUCAUUUUCAGGACUGGCCUGGGGCAAAGUCGGAAGUAGUACUUAUCCUCAACACCUGUCAUCUUCACACGUUUCCAGUGCCUGCUACGGCAGCCUAAUUCUCUAGAGACUAACCACGGCCUUCGCCUCCUUCCAAGCAAUGCAUCUGCCAGACCCUGCUGUCCACUCGUGACGGGAACAUAUGAGGACGUUACACGUUACCCUCCUGCCAGGAACUUUAACAAGGUCUCCUGUUAAAUCACCGAAGCGGUGAUUCUAAUGACAGGAUUUCAGGUCCUGUGGUUGCCUAGUGGGGAAGGUAUUUUUUGAACAUAGGGCCUUUUGGAGCCCAUGUGACAUAAGCAGAAGCCCUAUUCCUAACUGAUUUUAUUGCUAAAGAAUCUUAAAAUCUACAUACAC